rnacentral:rRNA from 1 species
AACGAACGCUGGCGGCGUGGAUAAGACAUGCAAGUCGAACGAUUAUCAUCGGGUAGCAAUAUUCGGUGGUGAGAGUGGCGCAAGGGUGCGUAACACGUGGGUAAUUUGCCGUGAAGUCUGGAAUAACUUGCUGAAAGGCGAGCUAAUACCGGAUGUGAUUGCCGGAGGGCAUCCUCUGGCACUUAAAGUCGGGGACCGCAAGGCCUGACGCUUCUCGAUAAGCCCGCGGCCUAUCAGCUAGUUGGUGAGGUAACGGCUUACCAAGGCUAAGACGGGUAGCUGGUCUGAGAGGACGACCAGCCACACUGGAACUGAGACACGGUCCAGACACCUACGGGUGGCAGCAGUCGAGAAUUUUUCUCAAUGGGGGAAACCCUGAAGGAGCGACGCCGCGUGGGGGAUGAAUGGCUUCGGCCCGUAAACCCCUGUCAUUUGCGAUCAAACCUUACGACCUAAUACGUCGUAAGCUGAUAGUAGCGGAAGAGGAAGGGACGGCUAACUCUGUGCCAGCAGCCGCGGUAAUACAAUUGUGCUCUAGAGUCGACCUGCAGGCAUGCAAGCUUGGCGUAAUCAU